GGGCCCGUUGCCUAGCCCGGAUAGGGCACCAGCCUCCUAGUGCUGAGUCUCAGCAGAGAGAUAGUUGGUUUUCGCCGGUUCGAAUCCGGCCGGGCCCG
rnacentral:tRNA from 1 species